rnacentral:rRNA from 1 species
UACAGAGGUCUCAAGCGUUGUUCGGAUUCAUUGGGCGUAAAGGGUGCGUAGGCGGCGGGGCAAGUCGGAUGUGAAAUCUCAGGGCUCAACCCUGAAACUGCAUUCGAUACUGCCUUGCUCGAGGACUGGAGAGGAGAUUGGAAUUCACGGUGUAGCAGUGAAAUGCGUAGAUAUCGUGAGGAAGACCAGUGGCGAAGGCGGAUCUCUGGACAGUUCCUGACGCUGAGGCACGAAGGCCAGGGGAGCAAACGGGG